UACGUAGGGGGCAAGCGUUGUCCGGAUUUAUUGGGCGUAAAGAGCGUGUAGGCGGCUAGGUAGGUCCGUUGUGGAAACUCGAGGCUCAACCUCGAGACGCCGGUGGAAACCAUCUAGCUAGAGUCCGGAAGAGGAGAGUGGAAUUCCUGGUGUAGCGGUGAAAUGCGCAGAUAUCAGGAAGAACACCCGUGGCGAAGGCGGCUCUCUGGGACGUGACUGACGCUGAGACGCGAAAGCGUGGGGAGCGAACAGG
rnacentral:rRNA from 1 species